AUGGCAGAGAAGAAAAUUGAUGUUGUCGUAGGAGGAUGGCAAGUGAUGGCGACUGAUGAUCACCUGAAAGCUGUGGGAGACACGGGCAAGCAGGGGCGCCUGCUGGUGGAAGGUUUCGCAGUGCAGGAGCCGCCGGUGGACGUGGAGGCUGCGGCCCAGCGGCAGGCGGGGGUGGCUGCCCUCCUCGCCGGUUUCGCCCACCACCUCCAGGACAGGACCGCCCAUCACAUGGGGUACCCAUUUAAUCUAGAGUUCGACUUCAGUGUCCUCGACCAAUUCCAGAGCUUCUCCAUCAACAACCUUGGCGACCCUUUCAUCGAGAGCAAUUACGGCGUGCACUCUAGGCAGUUCGAGGUUGCCGUGCUCGACUGGUUCGCCCGCCUAUGGAACAUCCAGCAGCAUGAGUAUUGGGGAUACAUCACCAGCGGCGGGACCGAAGGGAACCUACACAGCCUACUAGUUGGGAGGGAGAUUUUUCGUGAUGGGAUUAUUUACGCAUCUUGUGACUCACACUACUCGGUCUUCAAGGCGGCUAGGAUGUAUAGAGUCGAGUGCGUCAAGAUUGGCACACUUGUUUCCGGAGAGAUCAACUGCGCGGAUUUUAAGUCCAAGUUAUUGAUGAACGCCGGGAGGCCUGCGAUUGUCAAUGUGAAUAUAGGAACGACCGUCAAGGGAGCCAUUGACGAUCUUGACAACAUCAUAAGAAUACUAGAGAAAUGUGGGUUCCGAGAUCGAUUCUACAUCCAUUGCGAUGGUGCUCUGGCUGGCCUUAUGAUGUCAUUUAUCAAACACGCACCAAAGGUGACAUUCGACAAACCUAUUGGAAGCGUGAGCAUCUCAGGCCACAAGUUCAUGGGAUGUCCAGUACCAUGUGGCGUGGUAAUAACAAGGCUCGAGCAUGUAAAAGUGCUCUCCACUGACAUUGAAUACAUAUCAUCUAGAGAUGCGACGAUCAUGGGGAGCCGUAACGGUCACUCACCCUUGUUCUUGUGGUACACCCUGAACAAGAAGGGGUACAGAGGCAUCCAGAAAGAAGUCAAGAAGUGCAUGAGAAACGCUCAACACCUCACAAGCCGUCUCAGGGAGAAGGGGGUCAGUGCGUUCCUAAAUGAGCUGAGCAGCACGGUGGUGUUUGAGAGGCCGCGAGAUGAGUCAUUCGUGCACAAGUGGCAGCUUGCAUGUGAGGGGAGCAUUGCACACGUCGUGGUAAUGCCAAAUCUAAGUGUGGAGAAACUCGACGGCUUCGUCGAAGAGCUCGCUGUCGGAAGAAGGAUGUGGCAUGAAGAUGAAGGGUUUAGCGUGCCGUGUGUUGCAAAGGACAUCGGGGAAGAAAAUUGCCUCUGCGAUGUGCAUGACAAGAAUUCAGGAGCUGCAUAA
rnacentral:rRNA from 1 species